rnacentral:rRNA from 1 species
GAUCCUGGCUCAGGACGAACGCUGGCGGCGCGCCUAACACAUGCAAGUCGAACGAGUGAGAGAGAGCUUGCUUUCUCGAGCGAGUGGCGAACGGGUGAGUAACGCGUGAGGAACCUGCCUCAAAGAGGGGGACAACAGUUGGAAACGACUGCUAAUACCGCAUAAGCCCACGACCCGGCAUCGGGUUGAGGGAAAAGGAGCAAUCCGCUUUGAGAUGGCCUCGCGUCCGAUUAGCUAGUUAG